AAUGAACGUUGGCGGCGUGGAUUAGGCAUGCAAGUCGAGCGAGAAGUGUAGCAAUACACGGACAGCGGCGAAAGGGAGAGUAAUGCGUAGGUACCUACCCCCGGGACCGGGAUAGCGGCGGGAAACUGCCAUUAAUACCGGAUAAUGUCCCCGGACCAAGGGUGAGAUUCCGCCUGGGGAGGGGCCUGCGUCCUAUCAGCUAGUUGGCAGGGUAAGGGCCUACCAAGGCUUUGACGGGUAGCGGGGGUGAGAGGACGACCCGCCUCACUGGGACUGAGACACUGCCCAGACACCUACGGGUGGCUGCAGUCGAGAAUCUUCCGCAAUGGGCGAAAGCCUGAAGGAGCGACGCCGCGUGCGGGAUGAAGGCCUUCGGGUUGUAAACCGCUGUCAGUGGGGAGGAAAUGCACGGGGGUUCUCCCUCGUGUUUGACCGAUCCGCAGAGGAAGCACAGGCUAAGUUCGUGCCAGCAGCCGCGGUAAAAC
rnacentral:rRNA from 1 species